rnacentral:lncRNA from 1 species
CCACUGAGCAUGGGCAGGGACCGAACCCGCAACCUCAUGGUUCCUAGUCGGAUUCGUUAACCACUGCGCCACGACGGGAACUCCAAACCUGACUUUUAAAUUCGAACACACCCCUGAGCCCUGGACGUUCCCCUCUUGCCAUUAUGACAUGUGGGGUGAAGGUGGGAGGAGGCCUCCGUCUGGCAGAGGCCCCUUUAAAAAUGUACCCGGGUUCCUCCUCUGCCAACCAAGUUCUAAAAAUAUUACUCCAGCAAAAGCUGAAAUAUUUGCAGAGAAAACUGAAUUUCCUGCUACCCUCACCCCCUCCACUCAAAUGGGUAAAAUCCUGACCUGAGAAGCCCCCAGAUCAGCUCCACCAAAGGCACAGCCUCCUACUUUCCACCCCCGCCUCACCAUGGAGUCCCUCUGUGGGCUUGAGCUGGGAUGUUAUGUUCAGACAGUACCCACUCCAGGGAGGGGAAGCCACAAGUAUUGGCAAAUAGCUUGCCAUGUGCCUUGGCUUUCCUCUCUGCUUACGAGGACCAACUCUCUCCAAAUCCCCUUCCAUCUGUCCCAAGAAGGAUCUGUAUUGGACCCCAGAAGCUUGCCACUAAUCCAUCUUUUAUCCUCUCUUUUGUCGAAUCAUCUCCUCCUUGGCUGGCCCUGCCUUCUAUCCUGUGCCCUCCAUCUCCGUGCUCCCUGCUGGGUCCACCACACCCACAGGCCCCAGCUCCCUCUCUAACCUGGCCCUCCCUGCCUUCCUCUCCCUUCCAGGCCUGCUGCCAUCCUUCUCCCUCAACUGUGGGGGCCAGCGAAGACAGAGGAGAUGUUUUGAAAUCUGAAGAGUCAAGGAGGAUAACUGCAGCACCGAAGGCCAGCAGGUUAACAGAGUGAGGUAGCCUGCUGCCCAAAGCAGCCUGGCCCAGCAUUCCACGGUGCUUCUGUCCCCUUUCCUUGUUCAUCUAUUCAAGAAUCAGAGGUUCAG